AGUCGUAACAAGGUAUCCGUAGGUGAACCUGCGGAUGGAUCAUUAUAGGUUAUUUUGAAUGUUGUGUGAACAGUGUGGUUGCAGGUUGUGGUGGGUAUGUGAUAUGUGAUAUAUUAUAUGGUAUAUUAUAUGAUAUGGUAUAUAUUAUAUAAUAUCAUCCACCUUGACAACAUUGACGUACAUUAGUGCUGAAUAUCAUUAUAUUGAAAUAUAAACAACUUUCAGCAAUGGAUCUCUUGGCUCUC
rnacentral:misc_RNA from 1 species